rnacentral:rRNA from 1 species
GAUGAACGCUGGCGGCGUGCCUAAUACAUGCAAGUCGAGCGAACGGACGAGAAGCUUGCUUCUCUGAUGUUAGCGGCGGACGGGUGAGUAACACGUGGAUAACCUACCUAUAAGACUGGGAUAACUUCGGGAAACCGGAGCUAAUACCGGAUAAUAUUUUGAACCGCAUGGUUCAAAAGUGAAAGACGGUCUUGCUGUCACUUCUAGAUGGAUCCGCGCUGCAUUAGCUAGUUGGUAAGGUAACGGCUUACCAAGGCAACGAUGCAUAGCCGACCUGAGAGGGUGAUCGGCCACACUGGAACUGGGACACGGUCCAGACUCCUACGGGAGGCAGCAGUAGGGAAUCUUCCGCAAUGGGCGAAAGCCUGACGGAGCAACGCCGCGUGAGUGAUGAAGGUCUUCGGAUCGUAAAACUCUGUUAUUAGGGAAGAACAUAUGUGUAAGUAACUGUGCACAUCUUGACGGUACCUAAUCAGAAAGCCACGGCUAACUACGUG